CCUACGGGAUGCAGCAGUGAGGAAUAUUGGUCAAUGGACGGAAGUCUGAACCAGCCAUGCCGCGUGCAGGAUGACUGCUCUAUGAGUUGUAAACUGCUUUUGUAUUAGUGUAAACACGCCUACGGGUAUGGGCUUGAAAGUAUAAUACGAAUAAGGAUAGGCGAACUCCGUGCCAGAAGCCGCGGUAAUACGGAGGAGCCAAGCUUUAUCCGGAUUUAUUGGGUUUAAAGGGUGCGUAGGCGGUUUGAUAAGUUAGAGGUGAAAGACCGGUGCUCAACCCCGGGACUGCCUCUAAUACUGUUGAACUAGAGAGUAGUUGCGGUAGGCGGAAUGUAUGGUGUAGCGGUGAAAUGCUUAGAGAUCAUACAGAACACCGAUUGCGAAGGCAGCUUACCAAACUAUAUCUGACGUUGAGGCACGAAAGCGUGGGUAGCAAACAGGAUUAGAUACCCCUGUAGUC
rnacentral:rRNA from 1 species